rnacentral:pre_miRNA from 1 species
ACUUUCUUUGAAACAAAGAUCCAUUAGAACAAUAGUACUGACCUUUGGUUAAAACUUGGUAAGUGCUAUUUGUUGGGGUAGUUUUAAGUGA